GUGCCAGCAGCCGCGGUAAUACCGGCAGCCCGAGUGAUGGCCGAUCUUAUUGGGCCUAAAGCGUCCGUAGCUGGCUGCGCAAGUCCAUCGGAAAAUCCACCCGCCCAACGGGUGGGCGUCCGGUGGAAACUGCGUGGCUUGGGACCGGAAGGCGCGACGGGUACGUCCGGGGUAGGAGUGAAAUCCCGUAAUCCUGGACGGACCGCCGAUGGCGAAAGCACCUCGGGAAGACGGACCCGACAGUGAGGGACGAAAGCUGGGAUCUCGAACCGGAUUAGAAACCCUUGUAGUCC
rnacentral:rRNA from 1 species